UACGUAGGGUGCAAGCGUUAAUCGGAAUUACUGGGCGUCAAGCGUGCGCAGGCGGCUUUGCACGACAGAUGUGCAAUCCCCGGGCUCAACCUGGGAAUUGCGCUUGAAACUAGCGAGCUUGAGUGUGGCAGAGGGGGGUGGAAUUCCACGUGUAGCAGUGAAAUGCGUAGAGAUGUGGAGGAACACCGAUGGCGAAGGCAGCCACAUGGGUCAACACUGACGCUCAUGCACGAAAGCGUGGGGAGCAAACAGG
rnacentral:rRNA from 1 species